rnacentral:rRNA from 1 species
GAAGGUCCCCCACAUUGGAACUGAGACACGGUCCAAACUCCUACGGGAGGCAGCAGUGAGGAAUAUUGGUCAAUGGACGAGAGUCUGAACCAGCUAAGUAGCGUGAAGGAUGACUGCCCUAUGGGUUGUAAACUUCUUUUAUAUGGGAAUAAAGUGAGCCACGUGUGGCUUUUUGUAUGUACCAUACGAAUAAGGAUCGGCUAACUCCGUGCCAGCAGCCGCGGUAAUACGGAGGAUCCGAGCGUUAUCCGGAUUUAUUGGGUUUAAAGGGAGCGUAGGCGGACUAUUAAGUCAGCUGUGAAAGUUUGCGGCUCAACCGUAAAAUUGCAGUUGAUACUGGUCGUCUUGAGUGCAGUAGAGGUAGGCGGAAUUCGUGGUGUAGCGGUGAAAUGCUUAGAUAUCACGAAGAACUCCGAUUGA